rnacentral:rRNA from 1 species
GCAUAUCAAUAAGCGGAGGAAAAGAAACUAACAAGGAUUCCCCUAGUAGCGGCGAGCGAACCGGGAUGAGCUCAAAUUUGUAAUCUGGCGUCCUCCGGGCGUCCGAGUUGUAAUCUAUAGAAGCGUCUUCCGUGCCGGACCGCGUCCAAGUCCCUUGGAACAGGGCGUCAAAGAGGGUGACAAUCCCGUGCUUGAUGCGACGACCGGUGCACUGUGAUACGCUCUCUACGAGUCGAGUUGUUUGGGAAUGCAGCUCAAAGUGGGUGGUAAAUUCCAUCUAAAGCUAAAUAUUGGCGAGAGACCGAUAGCGAACAAGUACCGUGAGGGAAAGAUGAAAAGCACUUUGGAAAGAGAGUUAAACAGUAUGUGAAAUUGUUGAAAGGGAAACGAU